rnacentral:rRNA from 1 species
AACGAACGCUGGCGGCAGGCUUAACACAUGCAAGUCGAACGAGAUCUUCGGAUCUAGUGGCAGACGGGUGAGGAACACGUGGGAACAUCCCUUUCAGUUCGGAAUAACGUUGGGAAACUAACGCUAAUACCGGAUACGUCCUUCGGGAGAAAGAUUUAUCGCUGAAAGAUUGGCCCGCGUCUGAUUAGCUAGUUGGUGAGGUAAUGGCUCACCAAGGCGACGAUCAGUAGCUGAUCUGAGAGGAUGAUCAGCCACAUUGGGACUGAGACACGGCCCAAACUCCUACGGGAGGCAGCAGUGGGGAAUAUUGGACAAUGGGCGCAAGCCUGAUCCAGCCAUGCCGCGUGAGUGAUGAAGGCCUUCGGGUUGUAGAGCUCUUUUGUCCGGGAAGAUAAUGACUGUACCGGAAGAAUAAGCCCCGGCAAACUUCGUGCCAGCCGCCGCCGUAA